UCAGUCAAGAGAAUUAAAACAGAGGGAUCAUAUACUGAUUUCUCCAUGGCUUCCUCGGAGCAGAAAAAAGAGCCACUCACCCAUGCUGCCUUACGUGAGAAAUUACUGAAAGAAGAAGAGAUGCUGGCAAAAUUUAAAGAGUUUUCCAAAUUUCUUCAAAGUUGGGAACGUGGCCGAGCCAUGUGCCUUCAGCUGAAAUCACAGGAAGACAGGUGUUUUGCAAGAAGCAGGAAGAGGCACCAAGCAGAAAUGAAAGAAGAAAUGCACUAUGCUAAUAAACAGCUGAUCAUGCUUCGACGAGCAGCUUUAAAACAUCUCUUAACUACUGAACACCUGCAAUACCAGCUGGAAUUUAACCAUUUGGGAAUGUCAUUCUAUGCUGAACGGCUCUGAAAAUCUCAAACAUAUGUAACAGUUUGGGCUAUAAUAAGUAGGGUAGGUAUUUUUAUACAAUACUCUGUAUCUAGAAAGAGUGUUUUCUUCAAUAUCAAUUAAAUAUUUAAAUUUAUAAAGAGAAAGAGAAUAUUUUUCUUUCUUUUGACAGAUGGUAAAAUUGCACAUUUGUCUUCGGCUGAAUUAUAUAGAGAAAUGGAAGACCAACUUAAUGUAGACUAAAACAAAAUAAGUUGCAAAAUGAGGAAUAAUCCAAGAAAUUAGGCAGUAGAAGAAGAAAGUGAAGUGAAAGAAAAUGGGGAAGAUACUUCGUACAACCUUUACAGGAAAGGAAGAUACUUGGGGUAAAGAGAAGAUCACAUCUCACUCAGUUUCAUCUGCAUUGAUUUCAGAGUGUUUGAUAGUAGAUUUGACUUUGGCUGUCUGCAGCCUAAUGACAAGCCAUAUUUCUAUGGCCGGUCUUUUCUCUGCCAGUUUGGAGGGCUGCCCCAGAUCAAGAGGAAGGGCUGCAGCCCUCCCACGAUCAAGCGGGGAUCCCCCCUUGCUCAUUGCCCCUACCGAGAAACUUUCGACUGUUUCCAGGGUCCCCCAGUGAAGGAAAAUCAGAUGUGGAAGGCGGAGUCACCUUCCAAGUGUCCGCAGAGGCCAUGUUGGCAAACUGGAAGUCAUAAAGUCUUUCAUUUUUGAUGUCCAUAAGAAGAAAUCUAUUGACUUAUGUGAAAGGAUA